rnacentral:lncRNA from 1 species
AGAGAAGUCUGACGAGGUCAGCUGUUUCCUCUCUAGAGAGAAUCUAAGGUUCGAUUUUAGAAAGAGCUCGCUGCGGAGGGGGCAGAUCAAGAACCAGAGAGCAGGACGUGUCUCAGGGCGGCACGUUGGUAAACCCUGGGCGCCUCGUUCAGCUCAGCUUUCUGAAGCCGGAAGGUUCUGCCAGAUGCCACCAGGCUUGACGUAAGUGAAAGUGCGCUUGCUGUCGGCCAUGGUCCAAGGAAGCGGAGAUGAGGACCAGCACUGCACCUGCGAGCGUGGGUGCUGGUGAGCUUGGCAUAAUGAUCCUGGAUUUGUACGGACCUAGUUACGUGACUCGAAAUAUACAGAAAGCUAAAAUUGACAGCAAUGCAGGAUUAAUUGAAAAACUCAUGUCACAGUGAAGGAUUUUAAUAUACCUCUCAGUAACCCUUAAAUCAAGGAGACAGAAAAAUCAAUGAACACAUAGAAGAUCUGAAGAACACAAUUAAACAAGUUCAUGUAAAUAUGAACUCAAUGCCCAUGAAUUAGAGAAUGUGUAUUUUUUAACACAAAUAAAGUAG